GGAGCCCUGACAGUUCCCAUUGGCAGACGGCGAGCGGGCCGAAGGGCUGAGCAGCGCCGCUGCCGUCGGGUUCGCAGCUCUGCAGCGCCGUUAAGGCUUCGGCGCCCGCAGCCCCAGGGGCCCAGCGGCCCCGCUUUGUGCCUGGCCAGGUCUUCAAGAUCCUGGGUGAACGUCACUGGUUGAUGGCUACUUCUGGAUGCUGACCCUGUCCGAAGCUUGAGCUCCAAAUGGGAGGAGCGAUGUCGAGUCUGCACCCUGUCUCAUGGACACCAGCGAGAAAGCAGUGCUCACUGAAGCAAGGUAGUCAGCUUCCCAACUGCACACUGUUCAUGAGCAGCUGCAACCAUCCUCCAUCAUGGACCAUCCUGUUGCCCUCGUGACCGCUCUGCAAUGUCACUAACUGCAGGAGACCCACACAAGAUGGAGCCCACCAAUGUUCCCCUGUGGAAGGGAUAUAGGCUGUUAGUGGCUGCUGAGGAGGCUUCUAGGGCUCCUCCUUCCCAACCAAGCCAAUGGCUGUUAGGGGAGGGCUUGUAAGGGUUGCUAGGGGAGGGCUUGUAAG
rnacentral:lncRNA from 1 species